GCAGUCGACGGCAGCACGGACUUCGGUCUGGUGGCGAGUGGCGAACGGGUGAGUAAUAUAUCGGAACGUGCCCAGUCGUGGGGGAUAACGUAGUGAAAAUUACGCUAAUACCGCAUACGAUCUACGGAUGAAAGCGGGGGAUCGCAAGACCUCGCGCGAUUGGAGCGGCCGAUAUCAGAUUAGGUAGUUGGUGGGGUAAAGGCUCACCAUGCCAACGAUCUGUAGCUGGUCUGAGAGGACGACCAGCCACACUGGGACUGAGACACGGCCCAGACUCCUACGGGAGGCAGCAGUGGGGAAUUUUGGACAAUGGACGCAAGUCUGAUCCAGCCAUUCCGCGUGCAGGACGAAGGCCUUCGGGUUGUAAACUGCUUUUGUACAGAACGAAAAGGUUUCUACUAAUACUAGGGGCUCAUGACGGUACUGUAAGAAUAAGCACCGGCUAACUACGUGCCAGCAGCCGCGGUAAUACGUAGGGUGCAAGCGUUAAUCGGAAUUACUGGGCGUAAAGCGUGCGCAGGCGGUUAUGUAAGACAGAGGUGAAAUCCCCGGGCUCAACCUGGGAACUGCCUUUGUGACUGCAUAGCUGGAGUACGGCAGAGGGGGAUGGAAUUCCGCGUGUAGCAGUGAAAUGCGUAGAUAUGCGGAGGAACACCGAUGGCGAAGGCAAUCCCCUGGGCCUGUACUGACGCUCAUGCACGAAAGCGUGGGGAGCAAACAGGAUUAGAUACCCUGGUAGUCCACGCCCUAAACGAUGUCAACUGGUUGUUGGGUCUUCACUGACUCAGUAACGAAGCUAACGCGUGAAGUUGACCGCCUGGG
rnacentral:rRNA from 1 species